GUGAAAUCAAAAGAUGCUUUUUGAUUGAUCUUUCUAUACUAAAAUGUUAGGAGCCAGAUUAUACAAUUUUGUAAAUUUUGGUGCCACUCAGUAAAUGAGACAUUAAUUAGAUGAUCAGAUGAUGCCAUCUAUCUUGUUUCUAACAGGUGCAUAUUUAGAGAAUUAGUAUAAAAAGGAUGUUGUAAGUUGUAAUUAAUCUAUUGUUGUGAUAACAAGAAUUAGUUAUAGCUCCCUACUUUUCUCUCUCUAAAUCUAUUCCCACAAUUCUUCUCUUAUUUCUUCUUCUUCUUCUCUGUUUUCCUUCUCUUUUCCUCAGUUUUCCCACUCUUUCCUUAUUGCCAAACACUAGAACCAAGGCCUAACAAUCUCAUAUCCUAACACAAAAUCAGUGUGAAAAGAGCAGGGGUGACUUCUACUCAUUAUAUGCCUUCUACAAAGAAAUAAGGCUUGUUUGGAUUGUUAGUUAAUUAUACUGAGCCUUUGGGGCAUCAUGACUAUAAAUUCUAGGAAUGGAAAAGGUAUUAUUUGAUGUUACCGGAUGCAUAUUUCUUUCCCUAAAGUUUCUUGUUCAAUUUCUUUGGUCAAAUUCCUUACUCUAAUGGCCUUCUGUUUUUGC
rnacentral:misc_RNA from 1 species